AAUUAGUAUAAUUGAGAGCAAAUUAUUUUCCUUUCUCUUCUACCAUUCACUUCCUCCCACCUAAAGUCAUGCUUCCCCUCUCCAACAACCAUGCCAAGCCAUGCCAUCAUCUUGGGAUUUAAGCUUCAAAAGGAGAUCAGGAGAAAGUUAUGGGUUGUAAUUUGGCUGCCCGUUGAGUAUCUUUCCCCAGUGUAGUUAUUUUUAUCUUGUUGUAGCCCUUGAAUUAUGUAUUUGGAACUUGUAAUAUUUUUUGUUAUUUGUAAUUCGUGGUUUUCUUAGAUUGUAUUUUGAUUUGAGGUAGGAUUUUAGGCCUUGCGUGCCUAUGGGGUUUCUGCCCUGUGGGUGCACCGCUAUUUGUCCGCCACGGAGUUUGAUUCGGGGCAUGACAUAUGUAGUUUCUAAAAGACCAUAACUGCAAAAAAAUGCACCAUAUGACUUAGCAUAUGAAUUUCUCAAUAAGCCUAAUUUCUUGCCCAACUCAACCCAUUUGGGCAUCAACAUGCCCAUAUGCUUACAUGUAUGCGGGGAACUUAUUUAAGGUGCUUUUUAGGAUUGGGGAAGAGAGCUUUUGAUUAGGGACAAUUUUAGAGCCACCAUUGGAGAGAGAAGUUGGAAACUUGAAUAUACACCAUCUAAAGCGCAUCGACGACUGUAGGAAGCCGUCAAGGACUCAAUGCAGCCAUUAUGCAGAGAUCCUGAUGGCAUUUUCGAAGCUUCUUUGGAAUUUCUUCACUCAUCCACCAAGAUUUUGAGGCCAAGGAAUUUUUAAUGUUUAAUUUCAUGGCUAUGUACUUGCUGAGUUGGAGUUGUGUUACCCUCUCAUGGAGAACUAAUUUUUUUAUUAUUUGGGCAUGAUGCACCAUAUAGUUAACUUGUAUUAAGACAUUGGAUGUUAAUCUUCAUUCCGUUGAUAUUGUUUUGA